UGGGGAAUAUUGCACAAUGGGCGAAAGCCUGAUGCAGCGACGCCGCGUUAGGGAUGACUGCCUUCUGGUUGUAAUCCUCUUUCAGCAGGGACGAAGCGCAAGUGUCGGUACUUGCAGAAGAAGCACCGGCUAACUACGUGCCAGCAGCCGCGGUACUACUUUGGGUGCAAGCGUUGUCCGGAAUUACUUGGCGUAAAGUGUUCGUAGUCGGUUUUUCGCGUCGUUUGUGAAAACCAGAAGCUCAACUGCUGGCUUGCAGGGGAUAGGGGCAGAGUUGAGUACAGCAGGGGAGACUGGAAUGCGGGGAGGAGCGGAGAAAUGAACAGAUAUGAGGAAGAACACCGGUGGAGAAGGCGGGUGACUGGGCAGUAACAGAAGAUGAGGAAAGAAAGGGUGGGUAGCGAACAGG
rnacentral:rRNA from 1 species